UCCGGCUUGUCACCGGCGGUCUCUCCAGAGUGCCCGGCCCUACCCGAUGGCAACUGAAGAUAAGGGUUGCGCUCGUUGCGGGACUUAACCCAACAUCUCACGACACGAGCUGACGACAACCAUGCACCACCUGUGCACGGCCCUUACGGACCUCCCACCUCUGGGAGAUUUCCGUGCAUGUCAAGCCUAGGUAAGGUUCUUCGCGUUGCAUCGAAUUAAGCAACAUGCUCCGCCGCUUGUGCGGGCCCCCGUCAACUCCUUUGAGUUUUAAUCUUGCGACCGUACUCCCCAGGCGGAAUGCUUAAUGCGUUAGCUGCGCCACCGACGAGCAAGCUCGCCAACGGCUGGCAUUCAUCGUUUACGGCGUGGACUAC
rnacentral:misc_RNA from 1 species